UACGGAGGGGGCAAGCGUUGUUCGGAAUUACUGGGCGUAAAGGGCGUGUAGGCGGUUGUGCAAGUCAGACGUGGAAUCCCACAGCUCAACUGUGGAAUGGCGUUUGAAACUGCAUGACUUGAGUACAGGAGAGGAGAGCGGAAUUUCCAGUGUAGCGGUGAAAUGCUCAAAUAUUGGAAGGAACACCGGUGGCGAAGGCGGCUCUCUGGCCUGAUACUGACGCUGAGGCGCGAAAGCUAGGGGAGCGAACAGGAUUAGAUACCCGGCGUA
rnacentral:rRNA from 1 species